CCAGCUUUGCUUCAAUCAGAAAGAAAUACAGUGUGUACUGGUUUCCCGGGGACAUGUUUUAUUCCUGAUCACUGAAGCUCAUUAUCAGAGGCGAUGCAGUUCCCAGCAGGCCUGCAUUCGUGUCCAGAGACGCCCACGCCGGCCGUCGGCUACUUCAUUGCUCCUAUACUAGAGCAGCAGCAACACUGCUAAAAUUCUGCAGCUGAAACGCUCUGACUAAGGACAGAACAGCAGCCACCCCAUCCUUCCCUCCAUCCCUCUCUCAUUCCUCCUCUUCCUCACUGGUUAGGGGGCUGAUAAAGAUUAUUUGUGGGUACCAGGACAUUUUCCCUGGUGCUGCAGUGUGCACAUGCUCUGCGGGAAGGGGGUGAGAUGGUUUGAGUGACAGGUCCAGGAUAGGGGGUGGUAAGGAGGAAGUGUUGAGGCUGGAAGGGACACAGUUGGGUUCUGGAGACAGACAGAGGGAAGACCUCAGCCCCCUCUGGGGUGGUGCUUUGCAAGCCUCAGAGCAGAAUGCUGAGGAGGAGGAAUGACGAACUGUGGGAAGGGGUGGACAGAACAAUGGAAGAGACAGAGAGAGGGGCAAAGAGGAGGAAGAAGGGGAAACCCAGUGCUUGACCCACGCUCAGGCGGGCAGCAUGCCCCCUGUGCCACGACUCGCUGUGCCCCGGAGCAGUGCACACGGCAGAUGGCUGUGCCAGCCUGAGACUCCCGUGCCCUUUUUUAACGCAGCGGGAAAAAAACACCACUCUGACUGCCCACGGCGCAGCCACCUGCACCAGAGAGCAACGAUAAUUAAACCUCAUCAGCAGCCUGCCCGGCCCUCCUCGUUAGCUAAUUUUUCCCAGCAGCCCCGGGGCCUGGCUGAGUAAGCAGACGCGUGGUGGAGGCAGGGCCCUCUCCCGGAGAGCUGUGAUUAUCCGCCGCUCUCUCCGUCCCCCGUGUCAUCGGCUCGGAAGCCGUUGAUUACCGUCUCGCAGCCGAGACCCAAACCCGCCAUUACUUGCCUCCGCGGCCACGGCUGCUGGAAAAAUCGAUCUGAGAUCAAGCAAACAUUGAUGAACGCUGGCAUGCGGGGCGAGUGUUUUAUAGAGAAAUGUAAGAAGAACAAUGCUUUAAGAUGCUUGUUAAAACACAAAACCAUGGCAGUGGUCAAAGGUCACAGCUGCAUUCUUGGGGGGGGGGGGGCAUUAGUGCUGGACAUUAAUAAAAGUAUCAAGGGGAUAAGGAAUAUGCAAGCUCAAGAUUUUCCAAACUGAGAUCUGUGGACCCACAGAACCUCCUUUAUCAGACCUGAGAUUUAUAAUGGCAGGCCAGACGCUAGGGUCACCCUAAUACUCCACAUUCAUUUCCUUUAUCUCACCCCAUCUGGAUGAGAGGCCCAGAUCAGAGGAAGAGAUGUCAGCGAAGCGCGGGCUUAAAAAGCCACUGGGUUUCUUUAAUUACAGUUAAUGUCUGACAGACGCCUGGCGUGUUUGAGCUUUCCUUCCCCAAAGUGCAGGCUUUCUGCGCUUUUUCCACGGAAGCUGUAAUUAAACACUCUGGUAGGAGAAGAGUCCCAUCGGCGUGGGCGGAACUGACGAGCGCGGCCCACUUCCUCCGCGUCUUCACAGCGGCAGGAUCUCAUUAAGCCCCGCGCGCCGUUUACCUGCGACGGCGUGAACCUCCACACCUCGCCCCUGCCAGCGCCAGUACCGCGCUGGACUUGGGGGGAGAAACCGAAGAGACGACGGAUCAGGCGGUGCCUGAAUUUCAGCCUGGCUUUGUGUCAUUCAGACGGAAAAACAGACACGUAUGCUCCAGCUCCUUUUCCAGCAACACUGAAAUUAGAAACCCUGCAUUUAGUGACAGAGCCAGCAGGUGAAGUGGAAUGGGAGGGAGCCAAUCACAGGCUUCCACACACUGGAAGGGGAGAGGGGGGAAGGGGGGGCAUAUGACUUUGCAUAGGGAUUGGGUGAGCUCAGGUCAGAUAGCCUUCCAGACAUCACACCAAUCAGAAGACUAAGAUGUAAAAGGCACCAAGUCAAAAUUUUCCAAAAGGUGCCAAAUGAAAGGCAGAAAUGACAAAUCCUCAUUUUCACAGCUCAUCAGAAGACAAAAUGUUUUAUUUUAGAGAAUAUGAGGAUAAGUGAGCCAAGGGUUUCAUCCACUACAUUUCUUGUAACGAAAGCAUACAUACAGGACAAACAGAGACCCUGCUGUGUUUUGAGGAACUUUGAGAGUGCCCUGGGAGAUCUGGUAAAUAUCACCAUUACACUUGUAAAUAAUGAUGAGCGUUCACCUGCAGAAUGAAGGAAACUAGAUAUUUCCUGCCAAAAGCCAGACAGAGAGAAAGGGAAAGGGAGGUGAUUUUUCAUCUACGAAUCAAAAUGGUAUCACAAUACAACUAUUUUUAAAAUUUUCCAACUGCUUUGACAGCACUUGCGUGCAAACUAGCACCCACUUCUCAAAGGGGAAAGGCUUGAUAAGUCUGCUGGGCUAAUUAACAGAACAAUUCCUCCUUUUUCCUAGUGUGAUGGAUGGGGCUCUACACAAAAGAAAAAUACCAUGUAAAAAAAUGCUACAAUUGCCAACACAUAUCUGUUCUGUCACCAUCACAGCAGGGAAUAGUGUGCUUAUUCACUGGGAUUGGUGGAUUUACUCAAGAUGGUCUUCAGGAGCUUGUUGCAUCAAUACAUUCAGACCGAAAUGAUAAACUCCAUUUUAUAAUCACACACCAGACAGAAAACAGUUUCACAGACAGACAUAAAACCACAUUUCUAUUAUACCACAACUUGCCCAUUGUCUCAACAGAAACUAAAGAAACAAGAUACACAACCUU